GAUGAACGCUGGCGGCGUGCCUAAUACAUGCAAGUCGAACGAAACUUCUUUAUCACCGAGUGCUUGCACUCACCGAUAAAGGGUUGAGUGGCGAACGGGUGAGUAACACGUGGGCAACCUGCCCAAAAGAGGGGGAUAACACUUGGAAACAGGUGCUAAUACCGCAUAACCAUGGUUAGCGCAUGGUAGCUAUGUAAAAGGUGGCUAUACUACCGCUUUUGGAUGGGCCCGCGGCGCAUUAGCUAGUUGGUGGGGUAAAGGCUUACCAAGGCAAUGAUGGGUAGCCGAAUUGAGAGGUUGAUCGGCCACAUUGGGACUGAGACACGGACCAAACUCCUACGGGAGGCAGCAGUAGGGAAUCUUCCACAGUGGGCGAAAGCCUGAUGGAGCAACGCCGCGUGGGUGAAGAAGGUCUUCGGAUCGUAAAACCCUGUUGUUAGAGAAGAAAGUGCGUGAGAGUAACUGUUCACGUUUCGACGGUAUCUAACCAGAAAGCCACGGCUAACUACGUG
rnacentral:rRNA from 1 species